rnacentral:lncRNA from 1 species
CAGCAAUGUGCAUCAACUGAGGGCAAGGUGGUCCUAUUCGGUUAGGAACACCUUUGUCCGCUGAAAUUCAGGAAACCAGUUAGAAGCAGAAAUCUAAAAGCAAUAGCAAGAAACACGAUGAAAAUGGAUAAGGACCUAAUGAUGGCGACAACGACGUUAAUCAAAGGGCAAGCGUGAUAUUUGGUUCCACUUUGUAAACAAUAAGUGAAAAUGUUAGGAAUCAUUUCCCCACGAGGGAGGAAGUGGAGGAAAAGCGUGGCAGCAACGAACUUUCAAGUUUCCAGAUGUUAGGGUGGGAAAGUUAGUUUGAGAGCUCAGGGAAAUUACUAGGAAUGGUAGAUGAAUCUAUCAUUAUCGUUAAUCAGCUCAUAUCCUUCCUUACUUUUACUCAAACAACGCCUUAAUUAUACUUAAAUUAAUACAAAUGGCAUGAGGUUUCUCUGAAAUUCAAUUCCCUAUGUAAUAUCAUUAAAUCCCGCGAGAGAACUGAGAAGUUUAUUUAAAUGAAUUUAAUAAGGUGUUAAUUAAUAGGUCCCUG